rnacentral:rRNA from 1 species
UUAGUCCUCAUGGCCCUUAUGUCCAGGGCUACACACGUGCUACAAUGGCCGGUACAAAGGGUUGCGAUACCGCGAGGUGGAGCCAAUCCCAAAAAGCCGGUCUCAGUUCGGAUUGGAGUCUGCAACUCGACUCCAUGAAGUUGGAAUCGCUAGUAAUCGCGGAUCAGCAUGCCGCGGUGAAUACGUUCCCGGGCCUUGUACACACCGCCCGUCACACCACGGGAGUCGAUUGGUCCCGAAGUGCGUGAGCUAACCCGCAAGGGAGGCAGCGUCCUAAGGAAUGGUCGGUGACUGGGGUGAAGUCGUAACAAGGUAGCCGUAAUCACUAGUG